rnacentral:sRNA from 1 species
GCUGGGUACAGUGGUGUAGACCUGUAAUCCCAGCAGCUCCGGAGGCUGAGACAGGAGGAUCAUGAGUUCAAAGCUUAUUUUAGCAAUGGAGAGAGCUAAGAACUCAGUGAGACCCUGUCUCUA